GCCUCCUUAGCUCAGUCGGCAGAGCAGCUGCCUUGUAAACAGCAGGUCGUCGGUUCGAUUCCGACAGGGGGCUCCG
rnacentral:tRNA from 1 species